rnacentral:lncRNA from 10 species
CAUGUGGCAGCUGCCCUUGGCCACAAGGUCGCCAUUUGCCCACGCAGGGAUGGCCAGUUGGUGGCACGGAUGGUUGGCACCACAGUUUACAACACACGCACGCACACGAGUGUGCACACACGCACACUGGCAUACACAGGCAGGCAUGCUGUGAGCACAUACACGCAUGCCCAUGCAAAAACAUGCAUGUAUACACAUGCACACAUGCACACACGCAGAGCC